rnacentral:misc_RNA from 1 species
GUGAAUCAUCGAAUUUUUGAACGCAAAUUGCACUCUCUUCGGAGAGUAUGCCUGUUUGAGGGUCAGCCUAAAAAAAAUCGACAUCGUUGCUGUUUCGCGGUGACGUUCGUCGGAAAUUGGGUUAUCUUAAACCUUUUGGUUUUUUAGACUGCUUAAUAUUUUCUUUAUUAUUCCACGGAUUUUACUAUU